rnacentral:rRNA from 1 species
AGCUCCAAUAGCGUAUAUUAAAGUUGUUGCGGUUAAAAAGCUCGUAGUUGGAUUUCUGCUUGGGGUGGCCGAUGUGCCUUCUGGGUUACAGCCGGUUCAGCCUGAGCAUCUUUCUGGGAAUCGUGUCUGCACUUGAUUGUGUGGCACGGGUUCCAGGACUUUUACUUUGAGGAAAUUAGAGUGUUUCAAGCAGGCGUCCGCCUUGAAUACGUUAGCAUGGAAUAAUGCGACAGGACCUCGGUCCAUUUUGUUGGUUUCUUGGGUUGAGGUAAUGAUUAACAGGGAUGGUUGGGGGCAUUCGUAUUUAACUGUCAGAGGUGAAAUUCUUGGAUUUGUUAAAGACGAACUACUGCGAAAGCAUUUGCCAAGGAUGUUUUCA